rnacentral:lncRNA from 1 species
AUGCGGGUGGGCGCCCUCCCACCCCUCUGGCCUCUCCCCUGCUCUGCGGCUCCCGCCUGGCGGUCCCCCCACCCCCCGCCCUGGGAGGCCCAGGACCUGGCUGACUUUGCCCCCCACAGACGCAAGCCUCGACUCAGGGCCCGGUGGGGGCAGCUCCGGGGACCCCCAGCCCCCAGGCAGCGGGCCCGGCUCCUCAGACCCCAGGCGGCAGCCCGAGCGGGCAGGUGUCCUGCACUGGGGAGCCCGCCCCCGAGACCGCCAAGCCCAGCAAGACCCUGGACCCCAGGCACUGAGCUAGUUGACGUGGGUGAAGUCGCCAGGCGUGGGCACCGCUCCGUAGCGUUGCGUCACUUACUGGGGUGUCACUGCGAGGCGUCCCCACCGGCCUCUGGGUGCUGGGUGCACACAGACCUGCCAGGCUCCGCUCACCCUGCAGGGCCCCCCGCUCUGCAGGCCCCUCACCCUGGGGAGCAGCCCCCGCUGCCGGGAGCCCACCGCCACCACCAGCCAGGCCUCACCCCUGCCCGGCCCUCCCGGCUGCAGGGAGCCCUCGAGGCCUGGGCGAGCAGCCCCCCACGGAGCCCAGGAAGCUCAGGAGCUCUGGGGCCUCCCGCUCCCUCCCAGGAGCCGCCCGGGGCGCGGGCCAGGUCCCAGGCAAGAUGUGGGGUGCGUUUAGUGGGGAGCCAGGGCACGGCCCGAGGAACUCCCCUGGCUGGAGCACUGUUGGGGAGGCCUGAGGCCCCAGAAGGCCACAGGGACAGGAAGGAGCAGCGUCCUCUGGGGCCACCUGCCGUGGCUGCUCCGGGGCCACCGAGGCUCAGGGUGCACGGCACGCUGUCCCUCGGCCACCACAGGGAGGUGCUUGGUGCCGGCGUCCAGGGCGGGAAGUCCAGCACCUUCCCUGGGCUGGAGAAGCCCACCCUGUCCGCGACGUGGCACGCUGCAGGGGUGAGCCCCCCCGGAGCCUGCGGGCGGGACCCCGGGCCCCUUUCCCACAGGACCCUCCGUGACUGGCGAGGAGAGAGCCCCCAGGGAGGGCAGCCACAGGCGGGAAGCUGGGGACCUCCUGGGGGCUGCUGCACCUUGGGGGGCUUCUCCUCCUGA